rnacentral:tRNA from 1 species
GCCUCGGUAGCUCAGCCUGGGAGAGCGGCAGCCUUGUAAGCUGUUGGCCGCGGGUUCGAAUCCCGCCCGAGGCU